rnacentral:lncRNA from 1 species
AGUACCUAAGUAUCUGCAUUUAAACGGUAGCUUUGUGACACCUUGUGUUCAGUGUGCUUCCUGUUUGCAAUAGGUACAACAGGGUUGGUCAGCACUUGUCUUCAUCUCUGAAGUGUGGAUGUAAACACCGAUACAAAAGAAAAAAAUCAUUGCUUACAACAUUAUAUCCUAGGCAAAAUAAGGACUGCCUCAAGGAUCUGACAGGAGGAAUUGAGUAUGCUGCCAAGAUAUUAAAUGAAAUUCCCCAGAAAGACAUUCAGUGCACUAAAAGAGCCUCAAAGGCAGAAAGGGAAGGAAAUGGGCAAGGCUUCUGCUCUUCAUAACAAAAGGAGAGAAGGACUGUAAAAUCCAAAUCGUGGCAGUGAGAUAUGAAGAGAAUACAAGGUUGGAGCUCAGUAAUGGAGAUUUCAUCUGGUUUGCUCUGCUAAUGGUAGGUGGAAGAUUUGUGUUUUUAUUAUAUUUCAUAUUGUCACUUAUACCCAAGAAAGUGCAAAUCAUUAUUUCUAAGAUGUAUAAAAACAAAGGUGUUAAAGGUAUGGGGGACCAAAAUCUGAUAGCUGAGUGAGAAGGUAUUGGUACCAUGAGUUUAUUUUGCCUUUGGGUAGAAUCUUCUUCAAGGGAGCUGCAGGACACUGAUCUUGUGCUUGCAAGGGAGUGCAUCAGCUGAGAUAUUCCAAUAAGCCUUAUCUCAUGUCUCUGCUAUAAUUAUUCAUCUUGGAGGCUUGGUGUGCUAAGGCAUGAUGAGUGCAGAUGUUAUCUGCUGCAUGAUGGAAAAACAAGCACUUUGAAAACCAAACAAACAUGCUGGUUACGGUAAUCCUCAUUCCCC